AGAUAAGAAGAGAUUUACAUUCAAGACUCAGGAUUGUUAUUUUCAUACCAAAGGAAGAAAUAAUCUUUCCAGAAAACUCAACAAAUGGACACUGCAUUACAGCUAGGAUUCUGAAUGGACAGAGCAAUUUGAACAUUUCCCUUCUCAGCAAUUUUGAAAAUUUAUUAUAAUUAUUUAUAUAAUUAUUUGUGUGAAUAAAAUGUGACUAUUCUGUUCAAUACUUAUCCCAUUGGAACUACCAGUAUCUUGCAGAUU